rnacentral:misc_RNA from 1 species
UCCCCGUUACCGGGGCAGUCUGGCUAGAAAAAUACAACUAACCAUAAGGGUUGCGCUCGUUGAGGGACUUAACCCAACAUCUCACGACACGAGCUGACGACGGCCAUGCAUCACCUGUCACUGCGUUCCCGAAGGCACUUUCUCCUUUCGGAGAAAUUCACAGGAUGUCAAAUCCAGGUAAGGUUCUUCGAUUAUCAUCGAAUUAAAGAACACGCUCCACCGCUUGUGCGGGUCCCCGUCAAUUCCUUUGAGUUUUAAUCUUGCGGCCGUACUCCCCAGGCGGGGUGCUUAAAGCGUUAGCUGCGCCACUGACGGGCAAGCCCGCCAACAGCUGGCAUUCAUCGUUUACGGCGUGGACUAC